CUAGCCCCCCCUCUCUCUCUCGUAGGAGCAAUUUUACUACUUGGGAUUGUUUCCAGUAUGGAAUUUUACUACUUGAGAUUGUCUCAAAGUUCUCUCAUCCUAAUCCUAAAUCUAUCAGCUUUUUCAUUCCAAGCAAGGUUCCAAGCUUUGAUUUGUCCUUAUUAAUGUAUAGAAUAGAAAGUGAAUCUAUGAAUUUCUUGGGUCUCCUUUAAUUUUUCCAAAAUGUGA
rnacentral:lncRNA from 1 species